rnacentral:rRNA from 1 species
CCUACGGGUGGCUGCAGUGGGGAAUAUUGGACAAUGGGCGAAAGCCUGAUCCAGCCAUGCCGCGUGUGUGAAGAAGGCCUUCGGGUUGUAAAGCACUUUCAGUGGGGAAGAAAGCCUUGGGGCUAAUACCCUCGAGGAAGGACAUCACCCACAGAAGAAGCACCGGCUAACUCCGUGCCAGCAGCCGCGGUAAUACGGAGGGUGCGAGCGUUAAUCGGCAUUACUGGGCGUAAAGCGCGCGUAGGCGGUCUGAUAAGCCGGUUGUGAAAGCCCCGGGCUCAACCUGGGAACGGCAUCCGGAACUGUCAGGCUAGAGUGCAGGAGAGGAAGGUAGAAUUCCCGGUGUAGCGGUGAAAUGCGUAGAGAUCGGGAGGAAUACCAGUGGCGAAGGCGGCCUUCUGGACUGACACUGACGCUGAGGUGCGAAAGCGUGGGUAGCAAACAGGAUUAGAUACCCUGGUAGUC